AUUCUGAACAGUGUAUGUUUAGAUAAAAGGUGUUUAUAUUCAGAUAAAUGGAUUUAAGUCUCCUUUAAUGUUGUAGAGUGAGAAAGAUAAAACAUCCUCUGCACAUUUAAGGCUUUUCUCCAAUGUGAA